UUUUUUACCCAGCCACUAGCAUUGAUAUUUUGUCGUGUUAGUGCCGGUCCCAAGCCCGGAGAAAAUGGGGAGUUUUUU
rnacentral:ribozyme from 3 species